ACGCUGAUGCCCGCAGUUGGUUCGCGCCUCCUGUCCGAUCAGGUCUCGGCGGCGCGACGCAAGAGGGAACCCGGUGGGAAUCCGGGACUGUCCCGCAGCGGUGAGUGGGAACGAAAGCCGUCAACAGCACUGGGCCCCAGAUGAGUUGGAGCCCGGGAAGCGACGGCCGGUAGGUGCCCGCCGGUGAUCCGUGUCCCCGGUGAGCGCGCCCACGAGUCCGAAGACCUGCCACUGCGCCCGUACGCGAU
rnacentral:ncRNA from 13 species